UAUUUUAAAGAGAGUUUGAUCCUGGCUCAGGACGAACGCUGGCGGCGUGCCUAAUACAUGCAAGUCGAACGAACGGAGGAAGAGCUUGCUCUUCCAAUGUUAGUGGCGGACGGGUGAGUAACACGUGGGCAACCUGCCUGUAAGUUGGGGAUAACUCCGGGAAACCGGGGCUAAUACCGAAUGAUA
rnacentral:rRNA from 1 species